GACAACGCAACCAAACCCCGGAACAGUGGAUCAGAGAAACGAGUGGAGCCGGAGUGACUGGAUCAGUGGACUUGGAGUCAGUAAUGCAGCUCUCUCAUAUCGACCUGAAAUGCAUUUAAAACACACUCAGUCAACCCCGUUGGGAUCCAAUAGGCGCAUCAAAAGAAGUACUGUUUCCCUGUCUGUGACUAUGCCAGCCAUCCAACAUUUCUGGUGCAUCCUCCUGUAGCCGUGCUGUCUCCCAGACCCUUGUAGUUGUUGCUCAAUAAAAGAGGCCACUUCUGCAA